GGUAGCAGAAAAACACUAUCACGUGACCUUAUUAAGGGCUGUGAUUGGUCAGUUUGCGUUCUGGCGGGAACGGUUCGAAGAAGUUGCCGAUUCGAAUAAUGAUCAGUCACGUGAUGACAAGGUUAAUGUUUUCCGCUAUGUUCGCGUUUGUUUAUAUUUAAAUGAGAAGAAUGGCGAUAGCAGUUUUGUAUCUGGUGACGUUAAUGCAACUAUUUAUGAUACAGAGAACUUCAAUGAGAGCGAUGACUUAUAACAUUCUCAAUGUCGGGGAAACACUUAGAAGAUCGUAAAAAGAAGAGUUCUGCCAGGCUUUCAUGAGUCAGAUGAGAACACACUGGGACAGAGAUUUCUAUGGUUGAAUGCUCUUCCUGACACCAACAGUCACCUAUUCCAAGCAAGGUAAUAAUUCAUCAAUCUAUUGAACAACAAACAGCCCUGAUAUUGUUACAUGGAAAACUAAAAACAAACGAGUCUUGUUACAUGGUGGACUGCAUAUAAAUGACACUACAUAUAGUGAAGUCAUUCUUUACAAUCAGCAAACACAUGAAAACAAGGGUUGUAUAUCAAAUAUUUUAUUCAACUGAGUGCUUGUUCACAUCAGCAUGUCUUAUUCACUGUUUCCCAUAUUGGAGACAACAAAUUGCAUUGAAAAGGCCCAAAAGAGGCCGAAAUGCAUCUGAUGUUUUUGUUGGGCCCCCACUGAGGUGAUUUUUUUUUACCUCUCCCUACAAUAUUUGUUUUUAAAACAGCACAUUCAUAAGAGACAUUAUCUCAGGUCAAACGCUAUGACAGUUUAAGUAUAGUACUGUACAUAUGCUAAGUAUGAUACUGAUGGAUGCCUAAACAAGGUAGAUUUUUACACUAAAAAAAUCAUUUACCUCUCUGAAUAGGAAGUUAAUAGUCUGAAAAAUUAUCAUAUUGACAACACCAUCAUCAUCUGUUUCCCAUACUGACAUAAGUGAAAAGGUUCAACUGGAUUCAAUGGAUGGGAAGACUUGCAUUAUUAUCGUCCUCUCACAAAUUUGUUUUAUUCAUCAUGGUCUGCCCUCUUUCACUUUGCAAGGCAAUCGCAAAAUUGCAGUGCUACAAAGAAAACAUCCAUUGCAAUGAUUGGCAAAUUCAUUCAAGCAGUGACAAUACAGAGCUUGAGAGGGCUCUUCCAUCUUGCUGACAGCAAGUAAACCCCUACAGUGUUGGGUGAUGACAAAAAUGAACUCUGUACAUAUUGUAACAUGGUUGGUAUUAGAAAGGGCAUUCAACAAUAGAAACCUUGUCAAAAAAGGAGACAUUGGAGCUACCUGAAUAUUAUUUUAUAACAUUCUCCAGAUGCCAUAUAUUUACGGCAGUAAUUCUCAAAUGGUAGGCCACAGAACAUAGCUGCACUGGAUUUUAAAAAAAUUAAGUUUUAGAAAAUCUAUACUAAUAGUUGAGCAUCUUGAAAAACAUUAUUCACUAUUUUACUACACACAAAUACUAAUAAGAUUAGGUGUGCAAUAGUUUCCUAUAUUUUUCCUUCUAGAUUUGUGACUUUAAAACAUUUUAAA